ACCUUAUUGAGAGUGGUGGAGUGAAUGGGCACGAUGAAACCCGGCAACCUUUUAUGUGGUGCCAAAUCCCACAGAGAAAUCUGGAAGAUAAGGA
rnacentral:ncRNA from 2 species